rnacentral:misc_RNA from 1 species
AAAGAUAUAGCAUAUCCUUCUGAAUAUACUUUAUUAACCCAUUCCGAGUACCUUACCCGUUGCUUCCGCGAGGCUGUCCUCACGGCCCUCUGAAGAUUUAUCUUUGGGAGUCCUUGCGGAAGGUAUACAAUAAACUCUUGCAUUACCAUGUCAUCUGUCUGAAUCUGUUUUAAAACAAAUAUUA